ACUCUAUUGUGUGUGUGUGUGCAUGUAUGUAUGUGUGUGUGUGUAUUUAUGUAUAUAUAUAUAUAUAUACACACACACACACACACACACACACAUAAAAUAACUGGAGAACUGGAGGCUUAUAGAAGCUUUGUGACUUUCCCAACAUCA